CCCCCCCCCCCCCCCCUUCCUCUGGGUCGGCGGCCGCACCUUCGCCGUGGCCCCCGAUUCCCUUUGCCAUCGAUGGUCCUCAUCCUCCUUGGUCGCGGCGUCAAUCGAAAUCGAAAAUAUCUCCGCCCAGGCCCAGUACCAACGAAGAGAGGAAGGGCAAAGCCGUCGUCAGUGUCGCGUUUUGUUGCUCGUCGUCGUUCACGGAUUCUAGGUGGAUCUGAUUUCUUACACGAGGAAGACAAGAGCCGUGAUUGCCGCGUGCGCCUGCACAAUUCAAGUGGAUCGGUUAAAUUUUGAAACUGUAUCGGCUUCUCCACCAGCAAACAAUGAGAGAAAAACUAGGCGAGCUACCAACCAAAUGCACGCCAACAUUUUUUCGAUUCUUCCCGGGGCGCUAGUGCUUGCCUGACAAUCAGAAGAUGCAGAAGUUGCAGACAGAUUGGGUCACACAUUCUUUCUUCUUAAUCUGCAUAAAGUUCUGCUUCAAGUACAUAAUCAGGUACUAGUGCAACAGCUACUCAGCUGAUUUGAAGCAAACGGAUGCCUACAUUCUACGUACAUUACAGGUAACUAUAUCAAUGACACACACCAGUUCAUCUU